rnacentral:rRNA from 1 species
UACGUAGGGCGCAAGCGUUGUCCGGAAUUAUUGGGCGUAAAGAGCGUGUAGGCGGCCAGACAGGUCCGUUGUGAAAACUCGAGGCUCAACCUCGAGACGUCGACGGAAACCGUCUGGCUAGAGUCCGGAAGAGGAGUGUGGAAUUCCUGGUGUAGCGGUGAAAUGCGCAGAUAUCAGGAAGAACACCUAUGGCGAAGGCAGCACUCUGGGACGGUACUGACGCUGAGACGCGAAAGCGUGGGGAGCGAACAGG